rnacentral:rRNA from 1 species
AUUGAACGCUGGCGGCAUGCCUUACACAUGCAAGUCGAACGGCAGCACGGGGGCAACCCUGGUGGCGAGUGGCGAACGGGUGAGUAACAUAUCGGAACGUGCCCUGGAGUGGGGGAUAACUAGUCGAAAGAUUAGCUAAUACCGCAUACGAUCUACGGAUGAAAGUGGGGACCGCAAGGCCUCAUGCUCGUGGAGCGGCCGAUAUCUGAUUAGCUAGUUGGUGGGGUAAAAGCCUACCAAGGCAUCAAUCAGUAGCUGGUCUGAGAGGACGACCAGCCACACUGGGACUGAGACACGGCCCAGACUCCUACGGGAGGCAGCAGUGGGGAAUUUUGGACAAUGGGCGCAAGCCUGAUCCAGCAAUGCCGCGUGAGUGAAGAAGGCCUUCGGGUUGUAAAGCUCUUUUGUCAGGGAAGAAACGACUCCCUCUAAUACAGGGGGUUAAUGACGGUACCUGAAGAAUAAGCACCGGCUAACUCUGUGCCGGCAGCCGCGGUAAUACAGAGGUCUCAAGCGUUGUUCGGAUUCAUUGGGCGUAAAGGGUGCGUAGGUGGCGAGGUAAGUCUGGUGUGAAAUCCCGGGGCUCAACCCCGGAACUGCACUGGAUACUGCCCUGCUGGAGUACUGGAGAGGAGAUUGGAAUUUACGGUGUAGCAGUGAAAUGCGUAGAUAUCGUAAGGAAGACCAGUGGCGAAGGCGAAUCUCUGGACAGUUACUGACACUGAGGCACGAAGGCCAGGGGAGCAAACGGGAUUAGAUACCCCGGUAGUCCUGGCAGUAAACGGUGCGCGCUUGGUGUGGGAGGAAUCGACCCCUUCCGUGCCGGAGCUAACGCGUUAAACGCGCCGCCUGGGGAGUACGGUCGCAAGAUUAAAACUCAAAGAAAUUGACGGGGGCCCGCACAAGCGGUGGAGUAUGUGGCUUAAUUCGAUGCAACGCGAAGAACCUUACCUGGGCUUGACAUGCAUCUCUCAGUCGGUGAAAGCCGGCGAGUCCCGCAAGGGACAAUUUGCACAGGUGCUGCAUGGCUGUCGUCAGCUCGUGUCGUGAGAUGUUGGGUUAAGUCCCGCAACGAGCGCAACCCCUGUGAUCUGUUGCUAACCGGCUUGUCCGGAGCACUCUGGUCAGACUGCCCUGUGAAACGGGGAGGAAGGUGGGGAUGACGUCAAGUCAGCAUGGCCCUUACGCCCAGGGCUGCACACGUACUACAAUGCUCAGUACAGAAUGAACCGAAACCGCGAGGUGGAGGAAAUCCCUAAAACUGAGCCCAAUUCGGAUCGCAGGCUGCAACUCGCCUGCGUGAAGCCGGAAUCGCUAGUAAUGGCGCAUCAGCUACGGCGCCGUGAAUACGUUCCCGGGCCUUGUACACACCGCCCGUCACAUCAUGGGAGUCACUUGUUCCCGAAGUGCAUGCGCCAACCCGCAAGGGAGGCAGUGCCCUAAGGAAUGAGCGGUAACUGGGAUG